rnacentral:rRNA from 1 species
CCUACGGGGUGCAGCAGUGAGGAAUAUUGGUCAAUGGCCGGAAGGCUGAACCAGCCAUGCCGCGUGAAGGUCAGUGCCCUAUGGGCGUUAAACUUCUUUUGUGCGGGAGCAAUAAUGGUCACGUGUGGCCAGACGAGAGUACCGUACGAAUAAGCAUCGGCUAACUCCGUGCCAGCAGCCGCGGUAAUACGGGGGAUGCAAGCGUUAUCCGAAUUUAUUGGGUUUAAAGGGUGCGUAGGCUGGGAGGUAAGUCAGCGGUGAAAUGCCCCCGCGCAACGGGGUGAAGUGCCAUUGAUACUGCCGUGCUGGAAUGCGGAUGCCGUGGGAGGAAUGUGUGGUGUAGCGGUGAAAUGCAUAGAUAUCACACAGAACAUCGAUUGCGAAGGCAUCUCACGAAUCCGCGAUUGACGCUGAUGCACGAAAGCGUGGGUAUCAAACAGGAUUAGAUACCCCUGUAGUC